GGCAGUGUGUUUCAUUUGAGAGAUCAUCAUAAAUAAAAUAUUUUAAAAUGCCUUUGAGUAAUAUACUGGCUGUUCCCUUUGAGGUAACAGAAGAAGAUCAUGAAAGGGUGCGCAUUAGAAGAUUACAAAAUUAUGGAGACCCUGAAGAUCCGGAAGAUAUCAUUCCUGAUAGGAAUGAUACAUUGUUAUCCAAACAAACAAUGCUGAGGAUUAAAUGUUGUCAACUUAUUGCGACCAUAGCAACAAUAGUCUUUUUCAUCUACGCAAAAUCCCAAUCUCGAUGCAUCAACGUAGACCUCCUAAUAUCCGCUUUCUUCGGAGCAUUAUUAAUGUAUCCGAUAAUGAUACUCUGUAUACCCAAUCAUAAUCAGUUAUCGAUUGUAAUGAUGCUGCUGAACCUGAUAAGUUCCCUAAUGCUCUUCACGAAUGGAUACUUCAUCUUCACAUCGUGGUACGCUCUAAAGAAUUACCUGAUAGCAGACGCCAUUUUGCCGGGGGAUCCUAUGUCAGGAGUAGCGACAUUUCAAUUUCUCGCCGCCACGUUUUCGUUUAUCAUUGGGACCGUUUAUGGCAGCGAGGUGUUCAUUCAACUCAUCGAUAAUAUUCGACAAAUAUUUUAAACUUGACUGGUUAAUUGUCAUUUAUUUAUUCUAGUCAUUAUCGCGGUAGCUUUAUCACUAACUGGAAUACUUUUUUUUUGUUUCUUUAUUCAUUAAGUAAAUUGAUUGUAGAAUAAUAAAUUUUAUAUUAAAAAUAUAAAA